ACCAUUCAGUUAAUUUGCUGUUGACAGCAAAGGGAAAAAAACUUAUAUUGAACUGCAGGGACCUUGCACAAACCAUUGGCUCAUUGGAAUGGAGAAAUGCCAAACAAGAAUCCAUGCUAUGAUACAAGAAGGGAAAGAGAAAGUUGGAUGACUGGCUCAAUUCUUUUCUCUUGAAUAAGGUUGGAUCGACAUCAAGAUGUGGAGGAUGGGCUAUCUCUUGGCAGAUAAAGGAAGUGCUAAGUGACAGUCUUGAAACAAAAUAGUGUACUACUGGCACAUAAUAUUAGUUUCUUUGUAGCUUCCUGGGUAGCAGACCAGGCAUUAAAGAUUUACAUAGACGAAGGAGAUAACAGGCGUCCUCCUCAAACAUUGCAGUCAUGAAAAAGAUUUGGAUUACUGGAGCACUGCAUCUAUUACAAAGGAUAAUGUUAUUCGUUCUUACAUUGAAGCAAGAUGUUUUAGUUCAAAAUUAUUUUUCUGAAAAUUUGUAGUAGGAAUCUCGUUUCAAACAAAAGAAUAAAAGAG